rnacentral:sRNA from 1 species
AACUGGUUCGCGAUAGAGGGUUUUUCCACGGUCUGCCCUCGAUUGGGCCUAUUGGAUUCCCUUUCGCCUUUCUCCUCUGCUUUUGGCCAGGAGCAGCAGCACGGAAAAAUCGCCUCCUUUGUCCGCACUUGGCUCGAACUCUCCGACGGACUGCCCUCCGGGUUCUGAAGCGGAAAACUCUGCGGCGAAGUUCAGCGAGUCCGGGGAGCGGGCAAAGCGCAUGUGCCGGCUGUGGCCCGUUACUGCCCCAAAACAAAACAAAGGCCGAGCGGAGAGAGUGAAAGCUAACUGCAGUCAGCUGGCGUCGUCGAAAGUUUCAUCCCCGAAAAUCAGUUUGUUUACCAUCCUGGCGGAGCUUUUCAUGGGCAAAGUCGACUUGGGAAUACCCUUUGUGAAACAAGGCGGUGAGUUUGUAUAGUAAAUUUAUUUCGGCUUCUUCGCGUUAGACCAGAAUACAAUUGAAAUUUGGAAACAAUUGUUAAGUUUAAAUUUAGUUUACUUAGUAUUUUUGCUUUGACUUGUACGAACAAUAAAUACACACGCAAGACCGUUAAAUGUAAUUAUCAAUAAUUGAAUUUUAUAUAUGUAUGCGUGUUUAUACUAUAGAUGAGCCGGCGACCCUCGGAUCCCGGCCCAAGAUCACGGCGCCCAAGGACUUUUAUCCUGGCCCGGAGCUGAUCGGCAAUAAUUGAUGUCAAUGAUUUAGAAUGGGAUACUACUAUAUAAAAGUUAAUUACUGCUGGACUAAUCGCAUUCAUUUACAUUUAAAAGCGGGUUAACAAUCAAACAAAAAUCAAAUAGAUACAAUUCAAUUUUGAAACAAUUUGGAAUACAUACAUAUGUGCAAUACUUUCGGGGGUUACAAUUCAACUUUUGAUUACUCGUAUUUAAUUGUUAUAUAUAUAUAGAGGGGAUUAUUAAUAUCUGUUAUAUAAUUUAUCUUUGCGUUAAUUAGUUCGCCCUUCACAGUGUCCUCUUCUUCGUCCUCCUCUGUUUAACUGUGUGAUGCUUAAUCGUUUAACUCGUAUUUACAUUUGCAUUAGAAUCGGAUCGGAGCAAUCUGCUGGGCGCGUCGCUCGACAAUUCAUCCUUUUUACAUAAGUAGUUCUGGCUUUAACAAUUUAGUGCAAAAUAACAGAAACAAUCGGUGAAGAGGCGAUCUCGCGAACAAUUUAGCUAGACUAAGCGACGACACAAAUGCAAACUAGAUACACAUAUCAUAUACAUAUAUAUAAUUACAGUGCCUCUCUUCGCGACUGAAUCCCAACUCACGGGCUAAGCCGGAAGGGAUCCGAUCCCCAAGCAAAUGUCUAGACUAACUUCCGAUAUACAAUUUCAUCAACACCGCAGGGUGUUUUGGUGUUUUAGCAUGGCUGGAUAGGUGGAGUGGUGGCUGCGCGGCUUGGCUAUCGAUUCGAGUGGUAUAGUGGUACAGCUGCCAGGCUAGAUGCAUGGCUU